GGCCCAUGUCACGGCGGACGUUGGGCGGUCUGCAAAACCGCCGAUGCCGGGUUCGACUCCCGGAUGGGUCU
rnacentral:tRNA from 1 species